rnacentral:rRNA from 1 species
AUUGAACGCUGGCGGCAUGCCUUACACAUGCAAGUCGAACGGUAACAGGUCUUCGGAUGCUGACGAGUGGCGAACGGGUGAGUAAUACAUCGGAACGUGCCUAGUAGUGGGGGAUAACUACUCGAAAGAGUGGCUAAUACCGCAUGAGAUCUACGGAUGAAUGCAGGGGAUCGCAAGACCUUGUGCUACUAGAGCGGUCGAUGGCAGAUUAGGUAGUUUGUGGGAUAAAAGCUUACCAAGCCGACGAUUUGUAGCUGGUCUGAGAGGACGAUCAGCCACACUGGGACUGAGACACGGCCCAGACUCCUACGGGAGGCAGCAGUGGGGAAUUUUGGACAAUGGGCGCAAGCCUGAUCCAGCAAUGCCGCGUGCAGGAUGAAGGCCUUCGGGUUGUAAACUGCUUUUGUACGGAACGAAAAGCCCUGGGUUAAUACCCUGGGGUCAUGACGGUACCGUAAGAAUAAGCACCGGCUAACUACGUGCCAGCAGCCGCAGUAA